GACGUAGGGUGCGAGCGUUGUCCGGAUUUAUUGGGCGUAAAGAGCUCGUAGGCGGCUCGUCGCGUCGACCGUGAAAACCCGCGGCUUAACUGCGGGCUUGCGGUUGAUACGGGCGGGCUAGAGUUCGGUAGGGGAGACUGGAAUUCCUGGUGUAGCGGUGAAAUGCGCAGAUAUCAGGAGGAACACCGGUGGCGAAGGCGGGUCUCUGGGCCGAUACUGACGCUGAAGCGCGAAAGCUAGGGGAGCGAACGGG
rnacentral:rRNA from 1 species